GGCAGCAGUGGGGAAUAUUGCACAAUGGGCGGAAGCCUGAUGCAGCGACGCCGCGUGGGGGAUGACGGCCUUCGGGUUGUAAACUCCUUUCGAUAGGGACGAAGCUUUUGUGACGGUACCUAUAGAAGAAGCACCGGCUAACUACGUGCCAGCAGCCGCGGUAAUACGUAGGGUGCGAGCGUUGUCCGGAAUUACUGGGCGUAAAGAGCUCGUAGGUGGUUUGUCGCGUCGUCUGUGGAAGUCCGGGGCUUAACUCCGGGGGUGCAGGCGAUACGGGCAUAACUUGAGUGCUGUAGGGGAGACUGGAAUUCCUGGUGUAGCGGUGGAAUGCGCAGAUAUCAGGAGGAACACCGAUGGCGAAGGCAGGUCUCUGGGCAGUUACUGACGCUGAGGAGCGAAAGCAUGGGUAGCGAACAGGAUUAGAUACCCUGGUAGUCCAUGCUGUAAACGGUGGGCGCUAGGUGUAGGGAACUUCCACGUUUUCUGUGCCGUAGCUAACGCAUUAAGCGCCCCGCCUGGGGAGUACGGCCGCAAGGCUA
rnacentral:rRNA from 1 species